UACGUAGGGUGCGAGCGUUGUCCGGAAUUAUUGGGCGUAAAGGGCUCGUAGGCGGUUUGUCGCGUCGGGAGUGAAACUCAGGGCUUAAACCCUGAGGCCUCGCUUCCGAUACGGGCAGACUAGAGGUAUGCAGGGGGAGAACGGAAUUCCUGGUGUAGCGGUGAAAUGCGUAGAUAUCUGGAGGAACACCGGUGGCGAAAGCGCGAGACUGGGCCAUAACGUGACGCUGAGGAACGAA
rnacentral:rRNA from 1 species